rnacentral:lncRNA from 1 species
CUGUGCGUCUUCUUCGGCCGAAUGCAGGCUGAACUCCUUUCUAGAGAGAAAUUUCUCAUCAUUUGGUUACUCUGAGAUAGAGAUCAUAUAAGAAAAACAGAAAAAUUCUUGAUCUUUUUCCCCUUAUUUACUAGUUUAAAUAACAAUUUGGCUCCAUAUCAUCCUCCCAAGAAAAUCCUAGCUCUGUCUUCCUCCUCCUUGUCAUGAGCCUCACUUCCUCACCUGAAGUUAGAUCGGGGCCAGGGGUCGUCUUUACUCUGAUCAUCUUUUUCUGCUCCUGCUUCCUCAGCCAUGGCCUCUAAAGCUGCCAGGUUUUUUUGUGUGUGUCCAGCAAGUAGGUCCGGUGAUGGGGGAUUAGAAGGAUAUGGGCUGUUCAGCCUGGAGAGAGCACCGUUAGGAGGUAAGUGGAUUACUGACCUCAAGGCUAUAGAGAGAGAUUUUAUAAGAAGGUGGUGGACUGAUUGUUCAUUGUCUGUGAAAGAAGUAGUAAGAUAAACAGGCUCAGAUGAAGAAAGGGUUUGG